UUCUCUCUCAUAACAGGCCUUUUUUUUUAAAAUCCUAUUCACAUUUACCCUCCACUAGACCCCUGGUUUCACAAGGUGGAAUAAAAUGUACUGAUAAUAAGUGAUUUCAGGUUUGUACUGCUGUGAAGACGUAGGCCGUUACAUCAAGAUUGAUCUCUUUGCAAAAAGCCUCAAGAAAACUCAUAAUAAACUUGGGUAACUGAUGUUCAUAUCUUAAAGGACAAAUCCCUAUAAGCUUUUGUCAGGAAUCAGGAUUAGAUUAAUAAAGCCAACGCAACCUCAUGUUUUACAAAUGGUAGGCUACCUUAUGGUAGGACUAGUUAUAAAAUUACAUUAUAGGCCGACACUGUACUAUAGGCCUAUUUCUUUGCCGGAUUAUGGCCUGGUCAUGGAUAAAAAGCACCUGUUCAAAAUGGGGUAAAGCUGAGGGAACAUAAGGCGGUCCCCAGGAUUUCAGCUCCCUGUGUUAGCUGUUGUAAUCCUCUUUCUGCAUUUAUUUGUAGAUAGACUCACCCCAACAGGGAGUUAUGAGUUGGGGGGUAUUAUCAAAAUGUCUUCUUACUGCUUUUGAGGGAGCAGCAGAAAAGUGUAUCCAAGUUGGGGUACCCCUUGCUAGAAUUGUUAGUUGUAGCAGCAGUAGUAGCCAUGUAAUGGCAGCAGUGUUGUAGUCAAGUCACUAAAGCAUAAAUCCGAGUCAAUACACAAGACCCUAUGGCUAACUCUGAAUUGAGUCAAAGUCGUCAAUGUCUGAGUCGUGUCACAAGUCCCUGCGUUUGAAUCCCGGUCCAAGAUUUCAAGUCUAAGACAAUGGGUCCAUAUUAACUUAAUAUUAAGUUGUUAACCCAGUCAGAUAGUGGCGGGGGGAAUUUGAUCAAUUAUUUUUUCAAUUUAUGUGCCAACAAAUGUUUAUAUGCUACAGGCUGACCAGAUAACAUGAUUGAACAUGGUGUGAGUGCACAGCUUCUCUAUCUUUGAUGUAAUCUAAACAGAAACUGUAAGACACAGACAAACACAGAUACACUUUUAUAAACGAUACUGAUGUCAGAUAUUAGUGGCUAAUGUUCACAUUCUGUGGAGGUCAACUGCUCCUAAAUCUGUGUGUACGUGGUUUGGUUUGAAGCUUCUCUAACCAGCUCUGUGUUGUUGUCCUCUGGAAACACCUCUUUUCAGCGCUGCAGUCGGACAUAGACCGUCUGGCCUGAGCAGGAGGAGAGCGGGGCCUUUGGUCCUGGAUGUUUGACCUCUGGAGAGGAUUGGCCUGGAUCCUUCUAACCAGCUCUGUGUUGUUUGUCCUCUGGAAACACCUCUGGUUGUCAGUGCUGUGAUAGAAGAUUAGCGCAGCAGCUGUGGCAGACAGAUUCUGCUAGUGAGCGUAAACUGAGAGCACACGGCUGAUUAACCCCUUCACUGCCGGCCAGAGAAAUGUAUGCAAAUGUUUUCCAGUUUAUGCAAAUACUUGCACCAUGACGUGACCAGAAGGCCAUGUUUCAGUUAUGGUGACGCACGAUCACAUGUAGCCUAACUAACCUAACCUUCUUUCUUGAACCAGUUCUAGAACAAUUGAUACAGUCAUACUGCUAAGUCAUAGCUUCUCAUGCAUGUUUCUAGAGAGGAACUGGGUACGAUGCAUGACUGAUCUUACACUGCAAGUUGAGCCUUUGCACUGCCCCCAUAUAAAUCUCUACAAAAAUGUGGUAACACCUCUUAAACGUGAUGGAUAUCUUUAUAAUGCUAGUAAGCUUUGGUGGAGAGAAUACGUUUUGGAAUUAACCUUAGACAACAAUACAUAAGUUGCCAAAAAUUAUUUAUUAUGAUGGACUGUGAAAAACCCAAGGGAUCAUCAUCUAUUAAUGUACAGUGUGAGAGCAGAUAUGACAUUUUCUGUCAUUUAGAUAGUUGAGGCUGUGUGUAAGUUCAGAUGGUGUUCAAGGUACAAUGUGUUCAACCUUUCGUUACAGACCUUUAGUGCCCCCCUGUGGAAUAUCACGUGUAUCACAUGGGGAUCAACAUUUGUUUGUGAGGGUUGAAAAAACAACAUCAUGCUGAGGAAGCUUUAUUCAAAUGACAGAGGAUGAGACACGAGGUGUCGUACAGUGUCAGGCUUCAGAUCAAAAGAAAAACGAUACAGUCACUGCCUCGCAGUCCAACCAACGGUAUUUUAAACUAAGCACAGUUUGAAGGCUAAGCAAAAGUCAUUCAUAUUUCACAAAUGUAAGGCAACACUACACAUAUUCCAGAUAAAGGGGUCAUUUUUAUUUGUAUAAAUGGAAGAUUUAUAUAAGCAUUGUGUUAUGUGGCACUAUCCAGGUCUUUCUUGCAAAAGUGGGUUAUUUUGGCAAGAGAGACCUGGUUACCGUGUAACCCAGCAGUUAUAUUAAAUCUGCAGCUGUCUGCUUCCCUUACAUGUGCAAUUUGAGACAGGGCUUCUUGACUCAAGCGAAGAAACCUUUGGUCAAAUAUUAUGAAAAACAAGCCUAUUGGUCAGAAAAUGUUGUUCAGCAUUCUCGCAUUUAAUAAACACUGUGUUUGGAUAGAUCCUCAUUUCCAAUGCUGUAGUACAAAUAGUUUCACCUUAGAAUUUGUCAGUAUUGCUAUACAUUGAUAACAUGAAGAAUUAUGACACUAAGAUGUGCCACCUUCGGAAUAAUACAAAUUUGAAUUGGAACUUCACUUAUAUUAGUCCGGUCAGCACUUACCUCUUCUCUUUGGUCAACAAAUCAACCAAUCCAAUGAAGAAAUAAACAUUCUACUAAAAGGGUAUACUUCAUAGCUCACAAGAAACCAACAACACACACCACAGAUCAUUUUCAACUGCAAUAAAACUGUAUAGAAACAAUUCUUUGGAACACGGUGAUGAUAAAUUAACAUUUUCCUGACUAGAAUAACAAGUGAAUUAAUAUUAAUCUCUAGUUGAUACUGAGGGACAUAUUCUAUCAUCACACCAGUGUACUCGAUACUCUGGAUACUCCUAAGGGGUUGAAGCAGUCCAUCUUCAGGAAGAGAACACUAUUCGAGAAGCUCCACACCCCAGGGAUGAAAGUACUUUGACAGCUUGUGGCUCCUGUUGGGUCUCAUAGGAAACGUCUGUUCCAACAGUACUUCCGACAGUAGCUGCUGCUGCUCAUGCAGAACAGGCUGGAUCGGUGGGCACUGGAUCAUUUCUGUCACCUGCCCUUUGUGGUUUGGGGUUGAAAGGGCAGUGGAGGAACUAGGAUGGCAGGCAUGGCAGACGCUGGGAUGAUGCUGGCUGAUCCUCUCUGGUUCAUGGGAGGCCAUGAGGUCUCAAUAGGGCUCCUGAUUGGCGCAGCGAAAGAGCCUCUUCUUCCACCUCCAAGAUCGAGGGCAGUGAUGGAGAGACACACACUGGGAAGAAAGGCCCAGACUUAAAGUUAACGUCCCAGUGAAUGGGCUUCACUCUCUUCCUGCGCCCUCGUUGGCUAUUCUCCCAUUCCCGCUCGGCCUUAGCACGGGAGGCGGGCAUGUGCCCCCACUUGAUAGGCUGUUCUGCCAGUGGGACCAAGGGGGUCAAGAGGAUUUCAACGGGGCACUUCUCACCCGCCUGCCGAAUGGGACCAAAAUAUUGUGGGAUUAGCGUUGACUCAAAACGAAUGCACGACAAGAAAACACACACAACUACUACUAUUAUAGUAUAGAAGUCAAAAUACCUGUAGCUAUGUUCCUACUUGGACAUAAUCAAAAACAUUGACACCACAGUGAUUCUCCUUCUAAGAGGAUGCUAUAAUAAAUAGAUCAUUGCGAUUUUCAGAUUUAUUUGAGUACUGGGAAUUUUUUUGUCGUGCAUAUAUGCUGAUAAAUUGAAUAUGAAACUAAAAUCAUGAAUUUUUUUCAAAGGCGUCUGUGUGGCGUCAGGUUUUCAGGUUUUGAUUUGUUAAAAAAGUUUGAAAUAUCCAAUAAAUGUCGUUCCACUUCA